GUUCCGAGCAAAUGGCGGAAGGCGAAGGUAGGCAGCGCCAUCCUGCGGACGACGCCAGCUACAUUCCAUAGCAUAUAACUUCGCGUCGGACAGAGCGUCGUCGGAAUAAUAGGUUGAUAUUGUGUAGAAUGGAUGCUGAUGGAUACGCGAUAACUGUUGUGUGAAUAUUUAUGAGAAAUAUAUAUACACGAGAGAUGGAUAAUCGACUGUCCUUAGGAAUCACUGUUAGACGUACGCGACGAUUCGCUCGGAGAUAAUUUUCACACGUGUCAAUGUAAGUCGGAACGAACUCGCGGCACGUUCUUCUUUUGAACAACAAGAUAUUCUCCAGGUAUCGUUUAUUCGAUGUGUAUGAAGGUGCAUUCACAAGUGUGGAGCUGUGUGAGUCGCGUGUGAACGGCGCGUGCGCGUCGCAACCGAUCCUAACCUGCUUGCCGCGAAAGGUGUAUAUAGGUUUAAACAGGGCCCCGUAGACCCCCUAAUUCAAACAGGCCCUGUAGCUACCUCUACACUUGAAGGAUGUGCUUUUCUACAACCUCGAAGUGGGAGCGACCGGUUUGACGUUUGGACUUCUUAAGGCCCCCGAAAGGGGCACGCUCUCAUUGGUCAGGAUCUCAACGUCCUCAGGGCCGUGUCAGACGGGUCCUUUAGGUCAGGUACCAAGUAAUAAUUUUUUUUCUCUGUCCAACAUAUCCUUACGGUAGUCAAUCUCACCGUCGUUAUCAAGUUUCUUCAGGACGUUCCUGGGGGACCGACAGACUGUUGGAAAUUACCGAGGAUUUCGCGUUACGGCAGUAAGCUCUUGGCAAUUUAAGUUGGUACCAGAGACGUGACCGCGACCUCUGAACUUCUAACGACGACGAUACUCUCCGAGGACCUCCUGGACGUGGAAAUCCUCCAGAGUAACAUACACUUUGAGUAACGUAACGAGGAUGUCAAGGUCAAUCCCACUGCUAUCCUAUUAUUAGAACUCAAUACUCGGUCUUUCGAAAAUAUCUUGAACAACAUAAGGGAAUAUACGAUUCUUCAAAAUGAUGUGACUCUGUACACUCGUGGCAAAGGUCUGAUUGGUUUUAGUUACCGGAAGUUCCUUGAUAUUACCUGCAAUCCUCCAUGGGUAAACUAACUGAAAAAGUACGUAUGUCAAGAACGAACGCGAAAGUCCAUUCCGUUGUUCAGAAUCAUAACCAUAAAAAAUCCAUGUAUUUUAUAUUUUGCUUCAUUCUUUUACGUUUAGCCGGCACUGCACCUUUCGCCAAGGCGACACUGUUUUAUGGCAAAAUGAGUGCCGGCGAAUAUCCGCGUAACGUGAAAGCAACCCUAAAGCCGAAAGGUUUUACGAAGAAAGCCUUGUCUUUAAUAAAUCUCAUAUCAGUUUUCACGAUGAUCAAGCGCGACUGUCAAUCCCAAUCGGACUUUCGUUUUCCUUCUAUACAAUACAUCACUCCGUUGAAAUAUGAUGAAAAUUUGUUCACGGGAUGUGUCAUAUAUUCUUCUUUGUUUCUUAUAAAUAUUUAUCUUUUCUCUUUACCCAUAUACCAAUGUUCCCAUGAAUCCACUUUUCAUCCUACACGGUGAACUUUAAGCUACCUCGUUAAAUAGCCGUAUAUUAUAAUAAAAGUUCAUUAUCGUGUUUA